rnacentral:rRNA from 1 species
CGUAAACAAAGGGAAGCGAGACCGCGAGGUUAAGCAAAUCUCAAAAAUAACGUCUCAGUUCGGAUUGUAGUCUGCAACUCGACUACAUGAAGCUGGAAUCGCUAGUAAUCGCGAAUCAGCAUGUCGCGGUGAAUACGUUCCCGGGUCUUGUACACACCGCCCGUCACACCAUGGGAGUCGAUAACGCCCGAAGCCGGUGACUCAACCGAAAGGAGAGAGCCGUCGAAGGCGGGAUGGAUAACUGGGGUGAAGUCGUAACAAGGUAAC